rnacentral:rRNA from 1 species
UACGUAGGGACCGAGCGUUGUCCGGAUUCAUUGGGCGUAAAGAGCUCGUAGGCGGUUUGUCGCGUCUGCCGUGAAAAUCCGAGGCUCAACCUCGGACUUGCGGUGGGUACGGGCAGACUAGAGUGUGGUAGGGGAGACUGGAAUUCCUGGUGUAGCGGUGAAAUGCGCAGAUAUCAGGAGGAACACCGAUGGCGAAGGCAGGUCUCUGGGCCACUACUGACGCUGAGAAGCGAAAGCAUGGGGAGCGAACAGG